CCCAGGAGAUGGACAAAAUGUGAAAGAAAGGAUUUCUAUGAAAAAAUGUCUGUGACAAUCCCCAACAGCUGACUCGGUGGUUUUUGUGGUGUUUUUUCCGUGGCAGGACGAGGCGGGGGCCGAGAAGGAGAACAGCUCGGUGCUGCAGCAGAGCAGCUCCCUGGCGGGCAGCAGGAACGGCGACGAGAACGUCAUCGACAACCCCUACCUGAGGCCCGUCAAGAAACCCAAAAUCCGCAGGAAGAAGUGAAGGAAACGGUUCCCGAAAUUCCCCUCAGGAGGGGUCUCUGGGCCCACUCCCACCCUGCUCUCCCUCUGCUCACUGCCCUGGGCCAGGAGAACCCUUGGGAAUGGUCCGGGGGGCUUCGGGCUCUGCUCUGGGGGGAUUUCAUUGCUGAGGGGCUGAGAGAGCCAGGGCUUGGAGGGGCUGGGGGACACAGGGAUGGAUUUGGAUUUGGAGGACACAGGAAUUGGAUUUGAAUUUGGAUUUGGAUUUAGAGGACACAGGAAUUGGAUUUGAAUUUGGAUUUGGAGGACACAGGGGCUGGAUUUGGAUUUGGAUUUGGAGGACACAGGAAUUGGAUUUGGAUUCGGAUUUGGAUUUGGAGCACCCAAGGGUUGGAUUUGGAGGACACAGGAGCUGGAGCUGAGGGAUCCAGGGCUUGGAGGGACACAGGGAUUGGAUUUGGAUUUGAAUUUGGAUUUGGAGGACACAGGGGUUGGGAUUGGGUUUGGAUUUGGAGGACCCAGCCUUUAUUUCCCCCCUUUAUUCCCUUUAUUUCCUUCCUUUAUUUCCUCCUUUUAUUCCCUUUAUUUCCCCCCUUUACUUCCUUUAUUCCCCCCUUUAUUCCCUUUUAUUUCCCCCCUUUAUUCCCUUUAUUUCCUUCCUUUAUUUCCCCCCUUUAUUUUCCCCCUUUAUUCCCUUUAUUUCCCCCCUUUAUUCCCUUUAUUUCCUUUAUUUCCUCCCUUUAUUUCCUCCCUUUAUUCCCUUUAUUUCCCCCCUUUAUUUCCUCCCUUUAUUUCCCCCCUUUAUUUCCUGCCUUUAUUCCCUUUAUUUUCCCCCUUUAUUCCCUUUAUUUCCCCCCUUUAUUCCCUUUAUUUCCCCCUUUAUUUCCCCCCUUUAUUCCCUUUAUUUCCUUCAUUUAUUUCCUCCCUUUAUUUCCUUUAUUUCCCCCCUUUAUUUCCCCCUUUUAUUCCCUUUAUUCCCUUUAUUUCCCCCCUUUAUUUCCUCCCUUUAUUUCCUUUAUUUCCCCCCUUUAUUUCCUCCCUUUAUUUCCACAUCACUCUUGUCAUUAUUUGCUGCUUCUGGAGGGCUUUGCUUUCAUUUCCCUUCAGCAUUUUCUUAUAGAAAAUAAAGAAGAAAAAUCUUCUUCAUUUUAGGGUUAAAAAAAACAAAAAAAGGUUUUCUUUGGUUCCUUUAGAAAAACCAUUUGGGUUUUCUUUAACCCAAAACCUGGGUUCAGUUCCCAUCAGAAAAAGCUCCUGAGGUUUGGUCCAAAAUCCUCCNGUUUAUUCACUCCAUCAAUCACUUUUUAUAACCGUGUUAAUUAAGUUCAUGCAUAUUGCAAUGAACUUAA
ensembl:lncRNA